rnacentral:lncRNA from 1 species
CUCAGCUUUUGUGUAAGAAUUUUGUUGUACUGAUACCUGAUAUCUAGAGAAACUUCAGGUUUUGGACAACCACCCUUUUGGGUGUCUUAUAAUUGUACUAAACAUAUUGCACUAAAUAUUUGAAAUGGCUAAAAUGUUAAUUAUAACCACCUAGGUUAUCUGUUGGUAAAGGUCUUCUCAAAAUGCAUCUUGUCCAAUCUUCUCAUCUUGUUCAGCACAAAAUGAAGUUGGAAGAAUUUCACCAGAGUCUGUCUCUGCAAGCAUAAAUUUUAAAUAUAUUGAAGUUUUAUUUUUGCUUCAUAUUUUUCUUUGAAUAGAGAAGACCAAAAAUCAAUCAUAUAUUUGGGAUUUAGCUGCUUCAAAUAGAGGUCAACUGAAGAAGAGCUGGCUUGGUAUUAAAGAUAAUCUACAAUGUCAAGAGUCAAGAGUGACACUGGAAUUAGUCUGGAGAUGCUGAGCACAGCAGUGUGAGGAGGACUGCACACACCUUGUGAUCAGUGCUUCCUGUCAAACACUUGCAGCACAUUUUGGAGUUGAUAGCAGUGGUUUGCCUUGUGUGCUUUUCUUGAUGGAGGACUGUGGUUUCUAUCCACAGAAGAUCAGCACUCCCACCCAACCUGCUGCUGCCUGCAAACUGACUGAGGGUGCACUGCAUCCCCUCAUCCAGGUAGUGGACAAAGUUAUUAAACAGGAUUGGCCCCUGAACUGAGCCUUGGGGAACAUCACUAGUGGCCAGUUGGCAGCUGGAUGUGACUGCAUUUACAGCACCCUGGGCCUGGCCAUCCAGGCAGUUUUUACCAUCCAUAGUGCCAUGAAAGAAGCACAACAUCAAAGUUGUGCACACAAUUAAAUGCUCAAUGUGAAAUAUUGCCAAUUUCUAUUUACAAACAAGGAACCCACCAAAGUCAAAAUAUACAAAGCUUCCAAUAUGGAAAACCCUUGAAGCUUGCUGGUAUUGUCUGAAGCAGAAGAUGGUUGAAAAAGCAUUCCUGACUCUGUUUCUCCAGGAGAUACAUUGCCACACAGAAAUGAUGCAGAGGAGUUACUCAAAAGCCUGUAAAAUUAACAACAUAGCCAUGGGCAGUGGACUGAAAAUGCUAAUUAAUGUCUCAUCGUGGACUGUGGGAUGAGGCAAGAUUCAUUAUGUCCUGCCUCUGCCACUUAGUUCAGUUCUGAAGAUUUUGUAUUUUAAUGUAACUGGACCGGCAUUUCUGACUGAAUUUACUUAAAUAGUC